rnacentral:lncRNA from 1 species
GAGCAUUUGCGAUUCAAAACUCAUUGUUUUUAUUAUCGCCGUAAUGCUGACCCCACCGUAUUUGUAACAAGUCUGCAAGCAAUCACUCAAAUCGAGUACUACACAAGAAGGCUUAUUAACCUUUAUUACGAUACCCGCACCGUAACAACCCGCUUCUUCCCUCACUUCUGCUCCGGAGACACGCUCGCUAUCUCCUCGCUGAGCUACUCUACGUCCUUCCUCUCCUUUAUCCCAACUCCGCUCCUCUCUCUCCGUCCCCCCGCGUCACCUCUCACCCUCCCCACACCCCCCGCAGUGCAGCACCGCGCUCGGAAAGCCGCCCCGUGCCUCCCACCCGCCAGCGCCCCGCGUUCCCCCGCCGCACAGCCACGCUUCAAAGCGCGCCGUGAGCCCGCACCUCGGCAGCGCAGGAAGCAGCCACCCUCAGCAACGCCGCGGCGCUCCGCUCGGGGCUCUUCUCUUCCCCUCCCCGCAGCACGGCGCAGACACACCGCGCCCAGACGGCGAGACCCCCGGGGUUCCUCCGCCUGUCCCCGCUUGACUUUCCACGAAGUUCGGGGGCCGCCCGUUUGCCGGGGCCGCGCUGGAAGCCGGCCGCGGGGCAGCCAGCUCGACGCUUUUUUUGUUGUUGUUUUCUUCUCUUUUCUUUUCCCCUCCCCUCUCUCUUUAAAGCGCGGCCCCGGCCCCAUCCCCGACGCUGUCAGCGACGCCGACGCCCCCCGGCUCUCCCCCUCCCCACGCGCACGGAGCGCGGCGCGAGGCCCCGGGAGCUCCUUCAACCGCCCCACGGCUAACAGCCGCUACCGCCCGGCCGGAGGAGGAGGAGGACGCGGCGAUGAGAAGAAAAGACGGGAAACGAGGGACUCACCUUCCUUCUCGGCCCGGACCGAGUGCAGGAGCACCGCCAGUGUGAAGCGCAGCGCGGCUGCCCCCCAGCCGCCGCAUCGAUGGAAGGGGGAGCCGGCCGCCGCCUCCCGCCGCGCCGUCAUCGCGCUGCCGCAGCCGGUGCGGGUCCGCCGCGUCUCCGGCCGGGCCGCGGGGCGCGCGCGGAGGAGCUCGGGGAUGGGAGGGGCGCACAGAGGUGGGGCGGGGCGGGAGGCAGGAGGAGUGCAGCGUGGGCACGCGCAUGCGCGCACCCGCCCCCCGAGGGGCGGGGCCAAUGUGGGGAGGAGGGCGGCGCCAUUUCAAGUGUGGGCAACACGCCUCUUCCUUUGCUGA